GAACCCUUGUUUUUUCUGUCACUAUAUACGCACACAAACACUAUGUACGCACUAUACACACGUCGUGUCUAGUAGGAUACAUGUUAUACACACUUUGUAACGUUCCAUAUAAAUUUGUAGUAAAUAGUGACAUAUUUUUCCCUUAAUAUUAAUAUGUGAUACUAAUUUGACAUUAUUGUAUUGAAAAUUUAUAGAUUUUUUGUAUUUCCAAGUCAAAUGUAAGCAAGUUUGAUACUGUUGACGUGAAUUUAUGAUAUAACUUUUGUGUGUUUAUUAACUGAUAGAUGUUGUGUGAUGCAGUGGCCCUAUUAAUAUAUACGUGUCUUAUGAAGAUACGGGUCGUUAUCUAAUAAGGAAGCGUAUUUUACCAGAAGCAAUGUCUCAGGAAUCGCAAGAAAUGAAGAAAGCAAUAUUGAAAACUAGGUCCGUUACCAACGAACAAUCAAAAGCUGAGAAUAGCCCUCGGUUAAGAACUAGAAGACUAAUAACAGAAUCUAAAACUCCAGCAGCAAAGAAACAGUCUGAUCUUGAGAAAGAACCAGAUAGUAAUGAUCGCAAGGAAAUUCGUACGGUUACUAGGAGUAAAAAGUUAAAGAGAAAUAAUGAAGAGCAAAUACCUAAACUAGUGAAAAAUAGUAAAGUAAGGAGAAAUAAACAACUGAAUAAUACCAAACAAAAUAAAAGGAUAAAGAAAAAUAAUCUUGGUUCGAGGCAAACAUCAUUAAGAGAAUCUUUCUUGAAUCAAUCAAUGAAAUUGUCACAUGUUUGUCAAAAGUUUACGACACCUCAAGAGGAUGUUAUGUUAGUGGCAGAACAUCUUUCACCUAGAAGUCGUAAGAGUCUGGUAUUAGUAAAGAAACUGUGUGCAAAAAAAAGAAAAGUACCAAUCUACAAAUGUCUUUCACCUGAGCGAUCUGUACAUAAUGCAAGCGAAAUUUACGAGUUCAAAUUCGAUAUUAAUGAUUCUAAGGAACAGUUACCGAAGAAAAAGAGAAAAAAAAUUGCUGUUAAAAAGACUCUGAUAACCAAGAAGAAGAAGAAGGAAGUUAGAUCUAAGAAACAAGAUGAACAGAAAGUCGUAAAUAAAACAGCAACACCAAAUAAUGUUCCACUUGAAGAAGGUGACAUUAAAUUUAGCAAUACAGCAACUAAAGAAAGUGACGCGCGCGCGCGCGUUAGGUUCACCGAUGUUGCAUUAAAAGGGAAUAAUAUUGAAUCCAUUAAUGUUGCUUCUCAGAGUAGUAAUGUUAAACCUACUGUAAUUGCGAUUGAAGAAAAUAAUGAUAGAUUUGCUGACAUUUUACCGAAAGGAAGUGGGAAAAUAAGAGAGAGUAUCGAUGAGGUUUUACAUACUGGUAAUUCUGUGAAAUCCACGAAUGAAAAUGCAUUGCCAGAAAUUGCAGAGAAGAGUUCGCUAAUGAAUUUAGGAUUAAAUAAAGAAUCAUUGGUGCAAUCAGAAAAUGCAAGCAAAGAAUUGUUUGCAGAAAGUACAAUUAAAAAACCAAAAAUUUCAAUACCGUCAACACAAGACACGAACAAUGAGAAGAUCGCUAUAGUAGACAACAUGCAAAUAUCUAAAUCGGAUAAUUUUAAGCCGUUUAGGCCUACAAACGUUUUCAACAAUAAGAUACUGAUUCAACAGAGAACUAUACUUAAUAAUUCAUUGUUUGAAAAAUCAUUAUCACCGAUUACUAAAUUAUCUGAAAAUAUUGAAUUUAGCAGCCCUUGGAAAGCACCUGCAGCAAAUACGUUUUCCCAAGUAAGAAAUGUAUUUCAAAGUACACCGCAAAAUAAAAAAUAUGAAGUAUCUAGCAAAAAAUUUUUGCGAACAAUAACAAACGAAACUAAGAGUUAUGAAAAUACUACAAAAAGAAAAGGCAGUUUAUUAAAGAACGACGAAAAUGUAAGUCCAGGGUAUAUAAAUACUAAUUCGAAAAAGAGAAAUUCUGCAAUGUCAAGAAAGUUUGGUACAGAAAUAACAAACAUAGAUCAUUGUGUACAGUCUAAUAUCGAGGAAGACAUAAGUGGACGAGCGUCAGUUGAGGUAGAGAGUACGCAACCGAGUGUUGAAUUAAGUAGUAGGAUUAAUUCUAGUGUAAAUAAUUUGUCUCUGCUCAAUAGUAUCGAAAGUAAUGUCAAUGAAGUGAGCAAUCGUCAUGUGUCUAAAAAAAAUGUUAUAGAAACAAAUCAAAUUUGCAGCCCACCGAAGAUGAUCGAAAACAUGCAAGUGUGUGAUCUAAAAGAAAAUUUGGAUCCUCAACCUGGCCCGUCUGGCUUGCAAAAGAUCAGAAUUCUCAAUGAGCAAAAAAGCCUAUUGCGACAAUCGAACUUAAACAAUUUUUUCAAUAUUAUGGAUAUGCCACAAAGUACAUCGGUCAGAACUCCUCAUGGAAUUUUCGAUGAUAUAUCAUCAACCCCGAUUAAUAGUAAAUCAAUGAGAAAGCCUAAAAUAUUUAGCUCAGAUUUGAAGAAUGCGUUUGGUUUUUACGAUGAUGAUUCUAGUAAGGACGUGUCUCUCGUUAAACAGAGCAGUAUAAGCGAUGAAAACAAAAAGGAAAUACCUGUUGCAAUGUGUUCAGAAAAAAGCAAUGAAAAACCAUUUACAAGAAUAUCAAUCGGUGAAAUAAAAAAUACACUUUUUACUAAAAAGCUAAAAAAGAAUAUUCAAACGUUGAAAGAUCCGAAAAAUGAGGGCGCGGCAAAAGGAAAAGUGCCUACUGUACCAAAACAACACGUACUCUUUGAUAUCGCAAACUUUUCUGAUACGUUUGAUAUUUGUUCUGAAAACAGCAAAACUCCGGCAAUGGAUACAUCUGAACCACCAUUGUUCGUCGACCUGGAGCCAUCCCAUUUCAUACAGCCUGCGAGAUACUCCUACAAACGGAAACGAAACGUUAAGUCCAGUUUUUCCGAUGAAGAGACCGAAACAGAAGGAGGAAAAGACGUAGUAAAAAGUAAAACAAAGCGCAAAAAGACAGACAAAGUCAAGACAGAAGAAAAACAUAAAAUGAGAAAAUGGAUCGAGGACAUUAAUAAAACUUUCGAUGAAAUAGACCAUUUUGAACUCGUAGUGGAAUAACAAAUCUACUACCGAUAUUCUUAAGGAGAAAGUCAGGUUUACCGGGUUUGAUCGAGCAUAACUUGUCAGAACGAAGAUUUAUAGAAUAGACAAGAUAUGGUAAACAUAAUAAACUCUGCGCAGAUCGAGGAUCGAAGUCGAAGAAGUAAUUGUUGUGCGAGAACGACUUCUCCCAUAGAGCAGCGCAUGCAUAUACAUACAUCUCGGGUGCCAGCAUGCAGAGACGAGUCGCCGUGGUCUCUGAGCCACUCUGAUUGCACUCUGAUGGAGUAUGGACUAGUAUGGAGUGUGAAGAAUUGACAGCAAUGGACAGCAAUGGUAAGCAAUGGUAAGCAAUGGUAAGCAA